AAAAAUCGCGUAUUUUAUUUAAUAAAACUGGUAGGCACCCUGAUUUUGUAUUUCAAUUGAUUCAAAUAUUUUGUGCAGAAUUUUUUCGUGUGCUUCAAGAUUGCAAGAGAUGUCCAACCCUGUCUCCAGAAUUUCAAACUAAGAUCUCUACGUCGUCAGUAAUCAACAAUGCGGAUUUUCAAUUUGAUAUCAACGACACGGACAAUGAUGAGAGCAAUUGCAACAUUGACAUCAGCGAUUUGGUUUCCUAAAUUUAGCAUCAACAACUCGAUUCAAGAGGAAGAUUAAAAGUUGGAAAAAAGAAGAAUGAAGAUUAAAGUAAGU